AGAGUUUGAUCCUGGCUCAGGAUGAACGCUAGCGGCAGGCCUAAUACAUGCAAGUCGAACGCUCAGUAGCAAUACUGGGAGUGGCGCACGGGUGCGUAACGCGUACACAAUCUACCUCUAAGCGGGGGACACCUCCUGGAAACGGGGAUUAAUACCGCAUAAUAUGCCGAAGUCGCAUGACUUUGGUAUUAAAGCAGCAAUGCACUUAGAGAUGAGUGUGCGUCCCAUUAGGUAGUUGGUGAGGUAACGGCUCACCAAGCCUAUGAUGGGUAGCCGGUCUGAGAGAAUGGUCGGCCACACGGGCACUGAGACACGGGCCCGACUCCUACGGGAGGCAGCAGUAAGGAAUAUUGGUCAAUGGUGGAAACACUGAACCAGCCAUGCCGCGUGGAGGAAUAAGGUCCUACGGAUUGUAAACUCCUUUUGACGAGGAAGAAAAUGUUAGAUUUAUCUAAUUUUGACGGUACUCGUAGAAUAAGCACCGGCUAACUCCGUG
rnacentral:rRNA from 1 species